AUUGAACGCUGGCGGCAGGCCUAACACAUGCAAGUCGAGCGGAUGAAGGGAGCUUGCUCCUGGAUUCAGCGGCGGACGGGUGAGUAAUGCCUAGGAAUCUGCCUGGUAGUGGGGGAUAACGUCCGGAAACGGGCGCUAAUACCGCAUACGUCCUGAGGGAGAAAGUGGGGGAUCUUCGGACCUCACGCUAUCAGAUGAGCCUAGGUCGGAUUAGCUAGUUGGUGGGGUAAAGGCCUACCAAGGCGACGAUCCGUAACUGGUCUGAGAGGAUGAUCAGUCACACUGGAACUGAGACACGGUCCAGAUUCCUACGGGAGGCAGCAGUGGGGAAUAUUGGACAAUGGGCGAAAGCCUGAUCCAGCCAUGCCGCGUGUGUGAAGAAGGUCUUCGGAUUGUAAAGCACUUUAAGUUGGGAGGAAGGGCAGUAAGUUAAUACCUUGCUGUUUUGACGUUACCAACAGAAUAAGCACCGGCUAACUCCGUG
rnacentral:rRNA from 1 species